rnacentral:rRNA from 1 species
UACAGAGGGUGCAAGCGUUGUUCGGAAUUACUGGGCGUAAAGCGCGCGCAGGCGGGUCUGUAAGUCGGAAGUGAAAUUGCACUGCUCAACGGUGUAGCUGCUUCUGAUACUGCAGACCUUGAGGCCGGGAGAGGGUAGCGGAAUUCCCAGUGUAGCGGUGAAAUGCGUAGAUAUUGGGAGGAACACCAGUGGCGAAGGCGGCUACCUGGACCGGUUCUGACGCUGAGGCGCGAAAGCGUGGGUAGCAAACAGG